AUUGAACGCUGGCGGCAGGCCUAACACAUGCAAGUCGAGCGAGCGGCGGACGGGUGAGGAAUGUCUGGGUAACUGCCUGAUGGAGGGGGAUAACUACUGGAAACGGUAGCUAAUACCGCAUACCCUCAGAUGUGCACAGAUGGGAUUAGCUAGUGGGUGGGGUAACGGCUCACCUAGCAGACGAUCCCUAGCUGGUCUGAGAGGAUGACCAGCCACACUGGAACUGAGACACGGUCCAGACUCCGACGGGAGGCAGCAGUGGGGAAUAUUGCACAAGGGGCGCAAGCCUGAUGCAGCCAUGCCGCGUGUGUGAAGAAGGCCUUCGGGUUGUAAAGCACUUUCAGCGGGGAGGCGUUACCCGCAGAAGAAGCACCGGCUAACUCCGUGCCAGCAGCCGCGGUAAUUC
rnacentral:rRNA from 1 species